rnacentral:rRNA from 1 species
CAGCAGCCACGGUAAUACGUAGGGUGCAAGCGUUAAUCGGAAUUACUGGGCGUAAAGCGUGCGCAGGCGGUUCUAUAAGACAGAUGUGAAAUCCCCGGGCUCAACCUGGGAACUGCAUUUGUGACUGUAGAGCUGGAGUGCGGCAGAGGGGGAUGGAAUUCCGCGUGUAGCAGUGAAAUGCGUAGAUAUGCGGAGGAACACCGAUGGCGAAGGCAAUCCCCUGGGCCUGCACUGACGCUCAUGCACGAAAGCGUGGGGAGCAAACAGGAUUAGAUACCCCUGUAGUCCCUGUCUCUUAUAC